UUGAAAACAUUCAAGUACGGAAUAAACUAUUACUGCGAAUACGCUCAUAUGACACAAGAACAAUCUCUGAGCUUCUUUGAGGAUGUCCAGAUGACUGCUGACUGCACUAAUUGCAUCAAUCGUGUAUCCAUACAGGUUCUUUCUAUAAAAUAGUGGUCGCUAGUUAUGAGGCGUUAAGCCUUCAUGGAUAUAAACAGACUAUUCCACCUAAGUGAUCUGGCAGAAGCUUAGUUUUCUACCACAACAUCCACCGUCCUCCCUCCCUCCCUUCCUAGCUGGUCAGAAAAGCUACUCAGAAUAAAGACUACAUUUCCCAGCCAUCUUUGCAGCUAGGUUUAUCCACCUGACUAAAUUCCACCGGCCUGCCACAAGAAUACGAAGGCCAGAGCUCCAGCAGCUGUUGGAGCCACGAUGUGACCCUGAAGGCAGGAAACUCAGCUUUGGAAGGCAGGACCUUGCUCUGUCACCCAGGCUGUAGUGCAAUGGUGUGAUCUCAGCUUACUGCAGCCUCAACCUCCUGGGCUCAAGUGAUCCUACCACAGCUUCCUGAGUAGCUGGGACUACAGUAACUCCAGGUUGAAGAACUUCUACUUAUAGGCAUCUAUUCAACGAAGACGAAUCCUGGAAUGGGGAUGGAAAUGAUGGCUCAUGUCUUAGCAAACUACCAGUACGUCUACUAGAACCGGAACUGAUCCGAGAGGACAGGGAAGUCAGUGUGGGCGGCUCUAAGGAGCCUCCCUCUCUACAGCUGCGGCUCAGAGGAUUACGGCGCUUCAUCCACAAGGCAACAUUGCACAAGUAGCUUUUGAACAAAAGUCAUGGAUACUAUUAAUGAUAUGGUAAUCCUUAAUCGAGCUACCUCCCAGUAGUGAUUAUACUGACAUGGGAAGAAUAUCUAAGUCGUGGAGGCAGCCCACAACAACACUGUGUCAUUGUUCACCCCGGGCUCGACCAGGACUAACUUUUACCAGCAUCUCUAACGUCACCUUUCCCCUGAUGCCUCCCCACAACCCCUGGCCCCAGCUCCCAUUCCCGCCCCAUCAUAGCAAAAAAGUAGCAAAGAAAACCCUGAUCCUAAAUCUUUUUCUGGAUUUUUUUUUGCAAGUUCCCACACACAUUUAGUGUCGUCUCAAAAUUCACGCUGUCAACUGUCUCUAGGAAUCAUUUCCAUCUGAGAACAGACCACACAAAG
rnacentral:lncRNA from 10 species